rnacentral:sRNA from 1 species
CUGCAUUCACCAUCAUCAUAUCAGAAAAUUAGAUAUAAUUCUUAAUGUAUGAUACUUUGGUAAGAAAGUAUGUGGUUAAGAACUACUGAUGAAAACUCUGUCAAGCCAAUUGCUAAUGGAUCAAAGUGGAGAGCCGUAAUUUCUAUUAAAUAUCUUUCUAUGCCAACAAGGGUCAAGGGAUACAUUGACAGUGUUUUAUGCAGGUUUUAAGG